rnacentral:rRNA from 1 species
GAUGAACGCUAGCGGCAGGCCUAAUACAUGCAAGUCGAGGGGCAGCGCAGGUAGCAAUACUGGGCGGCGACCGGCAAACGGGUGCGGAACACGUACGUAACCUUCCUUUAAGUGGGAGAUAGCCCGAAGAAAUUCGGAUUAAUACCCCAUAAGAUCGUGGAGUGGCAUCACUCAGCGAUUAAAGAAUUUCGCUUAAAGAU